GGGACAGAGAAACUGAUAAUUUGCUCGUUCGCAACAAAGAAAUUUCUUAUUAAUGCUUUGUGAUAAGCCUAAGCAAGAAAACAACAUCAUAGUGACAUGCUUGUCUUUUGUUUAAAGUUAGAUCAGAUUUCAUUUUUUACAUGUACAACAUAUUUAAUUUAAGUGAUGAACUAAUUAGGGCUAUCUCAUCUCAGUAAUUAGAGUCUGGUUAUGCAUUAAGCAUAUGAUGUGUGUGCUGCCUGUGUGCAUCAGCAUGUCGUCCUGAGGCGUUGUUCUUGUUAAGGUUAUUAGGGAAGAUGUUUGGCACUAAUCAGUGAAGGACCACAGGGACCCCCACUAAACGGUCUCAUCAUCAGAGUGCCCCAGUGGUGAUAAAUCUAGCCCCAAGCACCCAUGGGGGCCUGCAGCCAUCUCCUCCAUUCUCCUCCUCCCUCCCCUUCUCCUCCUCCUCCAUCUCUCUGUGAUCCCGCCCCGGGGCAAGCAGACAUGUAAUGUUAAGGCACUAACUCCAGAGUGUAUGGACACACACACACACACACACACAGCAGAGAGAGACCAUCAUGUGUGAAAUGAGAUCUCUGCACAAUCAGUGGGAGUCGCAGCUAUAAAGCACAUCAAGCUUUUCAGCUUUAAGAUAAACCCUUUCAUGGAUAUCCGAUGGGGAAACCAAGUGUUUGGUCUGCCAGUGAAGGGGUCCUCUUUUCGACUGAACAAACAAGAGCUGAUCGACACCUUGAUUCAGUUUGCUCAUUUUCAUACCAUACAACAGAUAAAAUCCUAAUCUGUGUUUCAAACCAGAAGUUUACAAUAGCAAAAAACAUAUUUUUAUUCUGUUUAGUUAACUCCCAAAAAAGGGCAAAUUACCUUCAAUUCAUUGCAUCACAUCACUGCAAUGUGGCAUGAUGAUGUCUCAUUCAUAUAGUCAUAUAAUAUCUCUCAUAUAUGUCAGCGAAACCGCUGAAUCCAUUUCUUUUCUAUCAUCUACAGUAGAAUUUCAUCAAAGCUCCCUCAGGUAUUCUCAAGAUGUACUGUAAAUCUUCUACCCCUUAUUUAUUGAGCAUAAAUCCUGAAUCAUAAUAGGAUGUAAGAUAUGGUUAUGUGCUUCAAUCCUCCCGUUGCUGCUGACAUGUAAGUAGGCUGAAAUAUGUUUGUAUGUAAACUCAGAGAGAUACAGUUGUGAUGGGAGGAACGGGAUUUGAAAAAUACUUCUUCUCUCUGAUGGAUGGAUACUUCAACACUACCCAGAUGGAGAGAGAGAGAUGGAAGGAAGCAGGGAGUGCUCAAGGGGCACCAGAAGGAUGAAAGAAAAGAAGAGUAGGAAUUAACAGAAAGCCUGGACUUCUAGGCUUGGACAGAAACAAGGUGUUUAUUUUUCUGUUAUUAAAGGGACAGUUGAACAUUUAA